rnacentral:lncRNA from 10 species
AAUUUUAUAAAACCUUGAAAUCCCUUAAUACCACUCGUCUGCUUAAACCUCGGCAUCCCACAUUUACCACUAUCAGGAAGGAUCACGUUUGUUUGUUUGCUGUCUCAUUCCCCCAUUUAUAUGUGAAUUCCACGGGUAAGGGCCUGCUCCUACAUCCCACACCUCUACAUCCACAGAGCCUAGAGACCGCAGGCGCGGGGAAAGCACUCCACGACCAUCACUGGCCAGGCCACAAGAGUGCUGGAUCUAAAUUUGGAACCGGACUUUCAGAGCUGAAAUAAACCUGAGGUUUUCCAGGGGCUUUUAACCUCCUUUUACAGCCAAGGAUGCGCCUAAGAAAGGGGAGAGGCUUCCGUGACUUCCUGCAGUAACGCAGCCACUAGAGAUUGAGACUACAACGACUUGGGAGUCUAAAAGUCUGCAACCUUUUCCACUCCAGAGCUCAAUGUUUCCUCAAUCCCCCGGGAUCGGCAUCAGCAAAAACCCGGAGAAGCGGAGCCUUUCUCAAAGAAAAUGACCUCCAGACUCAUGCUACCAUCUCGACCGGUGCAAGUAUCACGCAUGCGCAGGGCCGGCCGCCCGGCCGCACCUCGCCAACUCCUACUCGGACACGUCAUCUAGAAUAAUUUGGACAGCCUUUUCUGAGUUUCCCAUGACGACUUCUGUAUAAGAUUGUCGGAUAUAGCAAAUAAAAGUACAGUAUACCCAGCUUUACUGUGCGUUUUGUCCAAUUAUUUGUUCAAAACGCCAAGAACCUGGACAACUUGCUGUCCGCAACCAAUCAGACUGAUUGUGGGCUGAAUCUUCAUUUGCAUGGAAGUGCAACUUUGUAACUUCACUUUAGCCUCUGAUUGCGGGCCACCACUUCAUUUACAUGAGUGCGUUUUGUUCAAUUCUUUGUUCAAAACCCCAAGAAUCUGGACAACUUGCACUCAAGACCCUCUACGGGUUUGGCGAGCCAGAGACCAUCAAGCUUCAGAUGAUCAUGUGACAGGGUUUCCAGCCAGUUCCAGGUGAAGACACCACCCCUGGCCAUCAAGAAGUCACCCGGUCUCCACUAGACAGAGUAGGGUGAGAGUUCCGUGAUCUCCAACCGGUAGUGAUUAUGCCCCAAGUCAGCAUAAAGAAGUUACGGAAGAAAAACCAUCAGUCCCUCUGUCUCACAUAAAGACUUAUGGGGAUCACGUUUCUCAGAGGGGAGAUGAGGCAGGAGAAUAGGGUCUGGAGGCAGGGAACCUAAGGCCGUUUCACACUGACUUCUUAGAACUAAAUUGAAAGGAAAACCCUAAUUUUCCAUGCCUAAGUAACAAAAGGACCAGAGGCUACUCCCUUUGCAAACCCCCACCUUUUCUGUGUGGCAUAUGGGAAAUUGAAAGUACCUCUGAUUGAUUGUUUUCUGCAACCAAUCAGAUGUUUGCAUUGGAGUGUAACUUUGUAAUUUCACUUCAGUCUCUGAUUGGUUGCUGCAGUCUGGAAAUUCUGCAGGCCAAGUCUUCGUUUGCAUAGAAGUGCAACUUUGUAACUUCAUCUUAGCCUCUGAUUGGUUGCUUUCUGCAACCAAUCAGAUGUUUGCAUAGGCGUGUGACCUUUGUAACUUCACUUCAGCUUCUGAUUGGUUGCUUUCCACAACCAAUCAGACUGAUUGUGGGCCACCACUUCCUUUACGUGAGGUGAACACCAAGUGGCCAAUGGAAAACCUCAAGAGGGUAUUUGGACCUGAGAAGAUUCUGUAUCUGGGGCCCUUGAGCUGCUGCUCUGCCCACUCUCACAUGGUGGAGUGUAAUUUCACUUUGAAUAAAUCUCUGCUUUUGUUGCUU